rnacentral:rRNA from 1 species
CGAACCGUCCAAACGUUAUUCGGAAUCACUGGGCUUACAGAGUUCGUAGGCGGUCUGGAAAGUUGGGUGUGAAAUCCCUCGGCUCAACCGAGGAACUGCGCUUGAAACUACCAGACUCGAGGGAGAUAGAGGAAAGCGGAACUGAUGGUGGAGCGGUGAAAUGCGUUGAUAUCAUCAGGAACACCGGUGGCGAGGGCGGCUUUCUGGGUCUUACCUGACGCUGAGGAACGAAGCCAGGGGAGCGAACGGGAUUAGAUACCCCGGUAGUCCUGGCCGUAAACGAUGAGCACUAGGUCGUGGGCCUCCACAGGCCCUCGGCCGUAGCGAAAGUGUUAAGUGCUCCGCCUGGGGAUAUGGUCGCAAGGCUG